ensembl:lncRNA novel transcript, antisense UNC13A
UUUCUUUUUUUUGAGAUGGAGUCUUGCUUUGUCGCCCAGGCUGGAGUGCAAUGGCGAAAUCUCGGCUCACUGCAACCUCGGCCUCCCAGGUUCAAGCGAUUCUCCUGCCUCAGCCUCCUGAGUAGCUGGGACUACAGGCAUCCACCAACACGCCUGGCUAAUUUUUGUUAUUUUUAGUAGAGAUGGGGUUUCACCAUGUUGGCCAGGCUGGUCUCAAACUCCUGACUUCAAGUGAUCCGCCCAACUUGGCCUCCCAAAGUGCUGGGAUUACAGGCAUGCACCACCGCGCCAGGCCUCAACCCCUAAUUUUUCCAUUAUGGAGUCAAAAAGUUCCCUUGUCUGCUUGAAUCAUGGUGUGGUGGGCUUCUGUUUGGGGCCACCAGCCGUGUCCUCCAUGGUGCCAAUGGGGAUCACUGAUG